rnacentral:rRNA from 1 species
UACGGAGGGGGCUAGCGUUGUUCGGAAUUACUGGGCGUAAAGCGCACGUAGGCGGCUUUGUAAGUUAGAGGUGAAAGCCCAGGGCUUAACCCUGGAAUUGCCUUUAAGACUGCAUCGCUAGAAUUGUGGAGAGGUGAGUGGAAUUCCUAGUGUAGAGGUGAAAUUCGUAGAUAUUAGGAAGAACACCAGUGGCGAAGGCGGCUCACUGGCCCGGUACUGACGCUGAGGCGCGAAAGCGUGGGGAGCAAACAGG